rnacentral:rRNA from 1 species
GAUUAACGCUGGCGGCGUGCAUAACACAUGCAAGUCGAACGAUGAAACUUAAUUGAUCUCUUCGGAGUGAUUUUGAGUGGAUUAGUGGCGGACGGGUGAGUAACGCGUGAGUAACCUGCCUUAGAGAUGGGGAUAGCCUCUGGAAACGGAGAAUAAUACCCAAUGAUACCAAGCUAUCGCAUGGUAGCCUGGUCAAAGAUUUAUCGCUCUAAGAUGGACUUGCGUCUGAUUAGCUAGUUGGUGAGAUAAU